GGUAAGGUGGCUGAGUUAAGCGUCGAGUUGUAGCCUCGGUAACAAAGGUCAAAUCCUUUCCUUGCUA
rnacentral:tRNA from 1 species